UCGAGCGGAUGACGGGAGCUUGCUCCUUGAUUCAGCGGCGGACGGGUGAGUAAUGCCUAGGAAUCUGCCUGGUAGUGGGGGACAACGUUUCGAAAGGAGCGCUAAUACCGCAUACGUCCUACGGGAGAAAGCAGGGGACCUUCGGGCCUUGCGCUAUCAGAUGAGCCUAGGUCGGAUUAGCUAGUUGGUGAGGUAAUGGCUCACCAAGGCGACGAUCCGUAACUGGUCUGAGAGGAUGAUCAGUCACACUGGAACUGAGACACGGUCCAGACUCCUACGGGAGGCAGCAGUGGGGAAUAUUGGACAAUGGGCGAAAGCCUGAUCCAGCCAUGCCGCGUGUGUGAAGAAGGCCUUUUGGUUGUAAAGCACUUUAAGCGAGGAGGAGGCUACCGAGAUUAAUACUCUUGGAUAGUGGACGUUACUCGCAGAAUAAGCACCGGCUAACUCUGUGCCAGCAGCCGCGGUAAU
rnacentral:rRNA from 1 species